ACGGAGGAUCCGAGCGUUAUCCGGAUUUACUGGGUGUAAAGGGCGUGUAGGCGGGAUCGCAAGUCAGAUGUGAAAACUAUGGGCUCAACCCAUAGCCUGCAUUUGAAACUGUGGUUCUUGAGUGAUGGAGAGGCAGGCGGAAUUCCGUGUGUAGCGGUGAAAUGCGUAGAUAUACGGAGGAACACCAGUGGCGAAGGCGGCCUGCUGGACAUUAACUGACGCUGAGGCGCGAAAGCGUGGGUAGCAAACA
rnacentral:rRNA from 1 species